UCUCUCAUUAUCCUACUCUUUCAUGCAUAUCCUCUCUUUCAUUCUCUCUAGUCCUUGUAAUCGAGAACAUUGCUACAAUAUCAUUUUUAAUUCUUGGCUGAAGAGAGUUUUGGUUGGACAGCUCCCACGAGGACCCAUUCGUCAGGAAGAUUUAUAUCUUUCCAUUGGAUGGAUCUCGGAAUAACGGAGUUGGAUCUUGAAAGAUCAGUUUGAAGCAACAGGGUUUCCCCUUUUUUUGCUGGAAAGUUUUACUUUUGAAGAAAAAACACUUGUCAUAGCUUUGUAAUGAACUCUAAAGAUCAAAGCAAUUGGAAUUGAUCCUUCAAUCAUUUCAUAGUUUUACGUUUUACUUGUAACACCAAAGAUUUUAAAAUAUUUUUGUCAUUUAGAGAAGCAUUUAA